rnacentral:rRNA from 1 species
GACGAACGCUGGCGGCGUGCUUAACACAUGCAAGUCGAACGGAAAGGCCCUGCUUUUGUUGGUUGCUCGAGUGGCGCACGGGUGAGUAACACGUGAGUAACCUGCCCUUGACUUUGGGAUAACUUCAGGAAACUGGGGCUAAUACCGGAUAGGAGCUCCUGCUGCAUGUUGUGGGUUGGAAAGUUUCGGCGGUUGGGGAUGUACUCGCGGCUUAUCAGCUUGUUGGUGUGGUAGUGGCUUACCAAGGCUUUGACGGGUAGCCGGCCUGAGAGGGUUACCGGCGACAUGGGGACUGAGAUACGGCGCAGAAUCCUACGGGAGGCAGCAGUGGGGAACAUUACACAAUGGGCGGAAGCCUGAUGCAGCAACGCCGCGUGCGGGAUGACGGCCUUCGGGGUGUAAACCGCUGUCGCCGGUGACGAAGAGUGAGUGACGGUAAUGGGUAAAGAAGCAACGGCUAACUACGUG